UCAUGAGGUUACCCAAGCAGCCCUGUGGAGGCACUCUUAUGGUGCUGUUACUGUUGGCCCAAGAACACAUUUUGAGAAGACUGGCCUAGAGGAACCAAUAAUGUGGGUUUCUUAUGGGCAGGAUGGCACUGGAGAACCCGGAGAGAAGUAACAAGAGAGGCAGAGGGAAAUGAUUCUAACAGAAGUUCUAGCCACAUGGAAGGAAGCAUUAGCAGUGAGGAAUAACUGUUCUCUCCCUAAACAUACCACCCAAGGGAAACUAACACUAAAUUAGCAUGAAGAGCAUACGCCUGUGAUCUCAGCUAUUCGGGAUGCAGAGGCAGGAGGAUCACAUGAGCUCAGAAGCUCAAGCCCAGCCUGGGCAACGUAGAAAGACACAGACUAAAAAAGAAAAAAAGGGAAGAAAAAAAAAGACGGAAAAAAAUUAGCAUGAACAAUUCAAGGGAGACAAGAGAACUGAGCCACCUUCCUAGCCAAGAAAAACCCCAGCUUGCAAUUUACUGAAUAGAAGUGUGCCACUUGACAGAGUAGUUUUAAUGACACUGAACCUUUUGUGAGUCUUGCACUUCUCUUGGCUGAAAUCUUCAAACUGGCU
rnacentral:lncRNA from 10 species